UAUAAUAUAGUGUUAUGUACACAAUAGGCCUUGAACCUAUAAAUCUAGACUCAUCUCUAGUAUUAUAU
rnacentral:tRNA from 1 species